CAGUCGAACGGAAGGCCCCUAGCUUGCUGGGGGUACUCGAGUGGCGAACGGGUGAGUAACACGUGGGUGAUCUGCCCUGCACUUCGGGAUAAGCUUGGGAAACUGGGUCUAAUACCGGAUAUGAACGGUCUUUGGUGUGAUUGUUGGAAAGAUUUUUUCGGUGUGGGAUGAGCUCGCGGCCUAUCAGCUUGUUGGUGGGGUAAUGGCCUACCAAGGCGUCGACGGGUAGCCGGCCUGAGAGGGUGUACGGCCACAUUGGGACUGAGAUACGGCCCAGACUCCUACGGGAGGCAGCAGUGGGGAAUAUUGCACAAUGGGCGCAAGCCUGAUGCAGCGACGCCGCGUGGGGGAUGAAGGCCUUCGGGUUGUAAACUCCUUUCGCUAGGGACGAAGCCUUUUUUAAGGUGACGGUACCUGGAUAAGAAGCACCGGCUAACUACGUGCCAGCAGCCGCGGUAAUACGUAGGGUGCAAGCGUUGUCCGGAAUUACUGGGCGUAAAGAGCUCGUAGGUGGUUUGUCGCGUCGUCUGUGAAAUUCCGGGGCUUAACUCCGGGCGUGCAGGCGAUACGGGCAUAACUUGAGUGCUGUAGGGGAGACUGGAAUUCCUGGUGUAGCGGUGAAAUGCGCAGAUAUCAGGAGGAACACCGAUGGCGAAGGCAGGUCUCUGGGCAGUAACUGACGCUGAGGAGCGAAAGCAUGGGUAGCGAACAGGAUUAGAUACCCUGGUAGUCCAUGCCGUAAACGGUGGGCGCUAGGUGUAGGGGGCUUCCACGUCUUCUGUGCCGUAGCUAACGCAUUAAGCGCCCCGCCUGGGGAGUACGGCCGCAAGGCUAAAACUCAAGGAAUUGACGGGG
rnacentral:rRNA from 1 species